rnacentral:rRNA from 1 species
GACGAACGCUGGCGGCGUGCUUAACACAUGCAAGUCGAACGGAAAGGCCUGCUUUCCCUUGUGGAUUGCGGGUACUCGAGUGGCGAACGGGUGAGUAACACGUGAGUGAUCUGCCCCCAACUUGGGUAUAAGCCUGGGAAACUGGGUCUAAUUCCCGAUAGGACUGCAGGGUGGUGCCUGUGGUGGAAAACGAUUUUCUAGUGGUUGGGGAUGAGCUCGCGGCCUAUCAGCUUGUUGGUGGGGUAAUGGCCUACCAAGGCGGCGACGGGUAGCCGGCCUGGGAGGGUGGACGGCCACAUUGGGACUGAGAUACGGCCCAGACUCCUACGGGAGGCAGCAGUGGGGAAUAUUGCACAAUGGGCGGAAGCCUGAUGCAGCGAGGCCGCGUGGGGGAUGACGGCCUUCGGGUUGUAAACUCCUUUCGACCGCGAGGAAGCCACCUGGUUGGAAGGGUGGUGACGGUAGUGGUAGAAGAAGCACCGGCUAACUACGUG